GUUUGCAAACAGGAUGAAGUUUUUAGUGCUUCCAGGUGGAUGUGUGUCGACAGGAGGCUGAGGGUGGAUAGGCAAACUGCUUUGAGGUGCUAUCCAGGGGCGAGGCCUAAACAGGAGCAUCGAAGAGACAGAAGGAAUCAAGCAAUCUGGGCUGGGUGCGUUGGAGAGCAGUCAGGCAUAGAGUGGUUGCCAUUGAUGGAAUUGUCGGAGAUGACCGUGGAGAAAAGGCAAUCCAGAGGUAAAAAGAGCUGAGGGCAGUUUGACUCUAUCAUUACGGCUAAGCGUCAGCAUGUCGAAGGGUCAUCUGCACUUUUAAUGCCAACCACAAAGGGCGCUGACUACCCACGGGUGCAUGGCAGCACCAGCUGGUGAAGAGCUUCUAUCAGAGAAAACACAGACUCACAUAAAGCUCACAUUCACGCAGAUCCUGACACUACUGCAACUCAGUGAACAUAUGGCUGUCCCCCUGUGUGUUUAAGUGUUUGCCUACUUUGACAGAAAUAUGAAAACUUUCUUGCAAAGAAAUUGUGACGAUAGUAAGACUGAACCUCUGGGUGGGUCAGGGACAGCAGAUGGACAAAGAGUUGAUAAAUCCUAGCAGAGCGCUUUUUAAAUUGUCUCAGUGUAGUUUUUGUUUUUCAAUAAACAAAUGAAAGAAAUGAGGGAAAGAAGAGGUUGGAAAUGCUCUGCUCAAAUAUUUAUGAAUCAUUUUUUGUAGUGGCAGAGCUGGUUGACAAGAGAGGAGAGCUGCAUUCAUUUCAGGUGUUUUCAGAUAUUUCAAAGUUGAAAAAUGCAUCAGGUCUAUUUUACUGAUGGAAACACAGAUCAGCCGUUGAUGGAUGGCAUUUGAUACCUCAAAACAAACAGCAUGAUGUUUUUUUUACUAGUUGAAAUUGUGGCCAUUGCAAUGCCUAUGUCCUUGAGCGUGGCUACUAAAUAGUUAAAAUGUUCAGUCAGACUGUUGGACAAACUGUGGACCACUUGACUGUGGUCAUUCUUUGCUUUUAUUUUGAAAAGCAGCAUAUUUCUUCUUCUUGGUUUUUGUGCCAUGCUGCACUUCCUGUUCUUACCAAGCAUUAAGAGACUUUGUGAGAUACUUAAGGAACCAGAAGAAAGUCUUUAAAAUAGCACAUUUGAAAAGCAGAGUGAGGGAUAAAUAUGCACAGUUGUGUUUUGAAAUAAAAACGGUAAUAAGGUAAUAAGAGAUAGACUGUCAUUGGUUCAUUUGUUUCAAGAGGUAAAACUCCACCUUUUUAGGAGGAGGAAUG